AUAUAUUUAAAUGUAACCACAUGAAUACAUAUCUUAAGCACUAUUUUUUCCCCUGCACUCUUAAAAAAGGGAAACAAUAAUCCGACUUUGACAUUCCAUAACAAGGGUCAAAAUCAGAAUCAUCUCAAACAUGAGUUCUCAAACGAACAACAAAACCCGCAUUCAUGAAACACGAUCCACCAAAAUAAACUAUGUAUUAUAUAUAUAUAGUAAACCUAUAAAUACGAUGCAUGCAUUAUUCCAUAUCAACAUGAACUAUUCAUAAGCCACCCUCCAAAACCAAUCAACUGACUUCACAAGGACCCAUUUUUCAUUCUGAGGGGGACCCACUCACACCAAGUGUCCCCUUAAAGUCUCACCCUGUACCUACCUACCUACCUACC
rnacentral:lncRNA from 1 species